rnacentral:rRNA from 1 species
GAUGAACGCAGGCGGCGUGCCUAAUACAUGCAAGUCGAACGCAUUGAGAAAAGUGCUUGCACUUUUCAAUUUGAGUGGCGAACGGGUGAGUAACACGUGGGCAACCUACCUGAUAGCGGGGGAUAACGAGUGGAAACAUUCGCUAAUACCGCAUAACAAUAGAGAAGGCAUCUUCUUUAUUUAAAAGGCGCUUUCAAGCGUCACUAUCAGAUGGGCCCGCGGUGCAUUAGUUAGUUGGUGGGGUGAAGGCCUACCAAGACGAUGAUGCAUAGCCGAGUCGAGAGACUGAUCGGCCACAUUGGGACUGAGACACGGCCCAAACUCCUACGGGAGGCUGCAGUAGGGAAUCUUCCACAAUGGACGAAAGUCUGAUGGAGCAACGCCGCGUGUGUGAUGAAGGCUUUCGGGUCGUAAAGCACUGUUGUAUGGGAAGAAAUGCUAGGCUAGGAAAUGAGCUUAGUUUGACGGUACCAUACCAGAAAGGGACGGCUAAAUACGUGCCAGCCGCCGCGGUAA